rnacentral:misc_RNA from 1 species
GAACAUUCCAAGGAAAUUUACACCAUAAGAUGGAGUCCCACUGGACCGGGUACAAACAAUCCGAACCAGCAGUUGGUGUUGGCUAGUGCAUCAUUUGAUUCAACAGUCAAGCUGUGGGAUGUAGAACUCGGGAAACUUAUCUGCAGUUUAAAUGGACAUAGGGAACCUGUGUAUUCUGUUGCAUUCAGCCCAAGCGGCGAGUACUUGGCCAGCGGAUCUCUUGAUAAAUCAAUGCACAUAUGGUCACUAAAGGAAGGCAAGAUCGUUAAAACAUAUACCGGUAAUGGGGGUAUAUUUGAAGUUUGCUGGAACAAG